UGUGUGGGCGGUCUGGCCGCGACGUGCGCACGGCGCCGGUUUCCCUGGGACCUACCCGGUUCCGCAGAGGGGGCCAGCGUGCAAGCGCGUCGAGGAAAGUCCGGGCACCGUAGGGCAGGGUGCCAGCUAACGGCUGGGCGCGUAAGGCGACGGCAAGUACAACAGAAAGCAGACCGCGCGCGUGCCGCCUCGGCGCCACGCGCGUAAGGGUGAAACGGUGCGGUAAGAGCGCACCAGUGCCCCUGGUAACAGGGGCAGCUAGGUAAACCCCACCCGGUGCAAGGUCCGAUAGGGAGAGAGAGCCUGCCCGGCUCGUCAAGAUCUCCGGGUUGACCGCUGGAGGCGCGCGGCGACGCGCGUCCGAGAUAGAUGGCCAGACGCCUCCACCCUCGGGUAGAGGCCGACAGAACCCGGCUUACCAGCCCACCAGCCC
rnacentral:RNase_P_RNA from 1 species